rnacentral:rRNA from 1 species
GAUGAACGCUGACAGAAUGCUUAACACAUGCAAGUCAACUUGAAUUUGGGUUUUUCACUUAGGUUUGGGUGGCGGACGGGUGAGUAACGCGUAAAGAACUUGCCUCACAGCUAGGGACAACAUUUGGAAACGAAUGCUAAUACCUAAUAUUAUGAUAAUAGGGCAUCCUAUAAUUAUGAAAGCUAUAAGCGCUGUGGGAGAGCUUUGCGUACCAUUAGCUAGUUGGAGAGGUAACGGCUCACCAAGGCGAUGAUGGGUAGCCGGCCUGAGAGGAUGAUCGGCCACAAAGGGACUGAGACACGGCCCGUACUCCUACGGGAGGCAGCAGUGGGGAAUAGUGGACAAUGGACCAAGAGUCUGAUCCAGCAAUUCUGUGUGCACGAUAAAGUUUUUCGGAAUGUAAAGAGCUUUCAGUUGGGAAGAAAGAAAUGACGUUACCAACAGAAGAAGUGACGGCUAAAUACGUG